GUGGGCAAGAUGGAGAAGCAGGGCACGUGCAUUUCUAACUCAUGCACACACUCAGUCCACAUUUUCUUGGUUGCAGUCGCCUGGUUGAAGAUCUUUUUGCUUAGCUUCAGUGACUGUGAGUUAGUUCUUCAUGUGCCCAUCUUCCCCAUCAUGACCAC
rnacentral:pre_miRNA from 1 species